rnacentral:rRNA from 1 species
UCCGUAGGCGGGCAAUUAAGUCAGAGGUGAAAUCCCACAGCUCAACUGUGGAACUGCCUUUGAUACUGAUUGUCUUGAGUUAUAGUGAAGUAGAUAGAAUAUGUAGUGUAGCGGUGAAAUGCAUAGAUAUUACAUAGAAUACCGAUUGCGAAGGCAGUCUACUAACUGUAUACUGACGCUAAUGGACGAAAGCGUGGGGAGCGAACAGGAUUAGAUACCCUGGUAGUCC